AGUAGGGCCUGCCCACUGAAUUAUUGAAGGGCCGCAGUAUCUUAACUGUGCAAAGGUAGCAUAAUCAUUAGUUUUUUAAUUGAAAGCUGGUAUGAAUGGUUUGAUGAGAAAAUUUCUGUUUCAAUAUUAAUUUUUUAGAAUUUUAUAUUUAUGUUAAAAAGCUUAAAUAUAUAUAAAAGACGAGAAGACCCUAUAGAGUUUUAUUGGUAUUUAAAUUUUUUUAUAAAGAAUUAAUUUUUAAAUAUUUAAUUAUCAAUUUGAUUGGGGUGAUUAAAAAAUUAGAUAAACUUUUUUUAUAUAAAUACAUUUAUUUAUGAAUUUUUGAUCCAUUUAAAUGAUUAUAAAAAU
rnacentral:rRNA from 1 species